rnacentral:rRNA from 1 species
AGUCACUGACAUUAGAUACCCGGGUAGUCCAGGGUGUAGACGCUGCAGACUUGGUGUUGGAAGCCCUUUGGGGGCAUUCAGUGCCGGAGAGAAGUUGUUAAGUCUGCUACUUGGGAGUACGUCCGCAAGGAUGAAACUUAAAGGAAUUGGCGGGGGAGCACCGCGACGGGAGGAGCGUGCGGUUUAAUUGGAUUCAACACCGUAAACUCACCAGGGAAGACUGUUACAUGAAGGCCGAGAUGAAGACUCUGCUAGAUUUUCAG